AGGGGCACAGUAGGCGCCUUAGCCACUGGCAGAAUUUCACCGGCGCUCUGCCCGACGCCCCCAGCCCCAGGGCCGGGCGUGGGUGGAAGUGUCUGGAAGGGUGGGUUCACCAGGGCUGGGCACGUCAGCGGCCCCGUACAGAGAAUCCGGUGCCUGGGGUCUCUGGAGGGGGUACUCAGAGUAUCCGAGGAGGAGACUCCUGGAUGCUAACAGAGCCCCCAGUUAGGAGCAGUCCGCGAGACAGUUGGUAACAGUGCUGGCCUUGCCCGGGCGCCGGAAGGUUCCGUGAGGCCCAGCAAGUCCUGACUUGGCACAGGGCCCAGCACACGGCGCAGUAACAAUAUAAUUACCGUAUGCAGUCCCCCAGGAUACAGGGUCAAAGGAGAGCACAACCAUCGCAGUUGGAAGCCCAUGGGGCAGGGCCCAGGACACAGUGAGCAUACAAUAGACAUUAGCUGCUGUGGUGUCUUGAUUUCAAGCCCAGUGCAGAUGCAUCUGACUUACGAAACUUCAGUGACACCUGCUCUGUGCCAGACACUGAAGAUGGAGCAGUGAACAGCACUGACCCAGCCUGUCCUCCUGUUGCCUGCAGGCCAGAAGCAAGGUCUCGCUGUGUUACCCUGGCUGGAGUGCAGUGGCUACUUACAGGCAUGAUCAUAGCAUACUGCAGCCUCGAACUCCUGGACUAGAGCAGUUCUCCUGCCUCAGCCUCCAGAGCAGCUGGGACUGCAGACACGCACCACAGAGCCCAGCCUGAGUCAUUUUGAUUCUGUAACUGGCUUCCUCUCGGCGGGCAGGCUCACACCCUCCACCCCCAGCUGGAGAUGGAAGGAGGAUGCUCACCGCCCAUUCCUCAUGCAGGCCAUCGAUGGAAAUGUCAGACAGUGCGAGUCCACGCCUGAACACUUCUGGGGUCCGCUCUGGGACUGACACUGGCAGAUCCAUCGGUGAGCUCCCGCCUGCCACCUCUGGGCCUGCAUUGCGGUGAUAGGGCCAAGGGCCUGGGCCUUCAAUUCUCCAGACUUGCCAAAAUGCUCAGCGCAGGCCUCGUCGGCAACUGCAGACAAGCAGAGGCAGCACCUGGGCUCUGCCUGUGCCUGGCACAGUGAAGCGAGGGUGGGGGCAGGAAUGAGGGUCCUCUCCAUGCAAGGGGGGAAGAUAGAAGAACAAAAUUUCACCCUAAUGUAGUGUCUUUAGACCGUGCAAUGUUGUGCUCCUGUUAGUCUGAUAUCAGGGGCUUGCAGCCUGGCAAAGGAAAAAAAACAGGCUGAGGCACAUGAUAGAAGACAGGCAGGGAUGCCACAAUCAUAACCAUGGCAAAGACCAGGAUCAGAAAGGCCCACCAUCUCUGACCCCAAAUCCCUGGGCAGAUGGUUCCAGAACUCAGAAUUUUCCCAGUUGUAGAAAGAUGGGGCCAGGUGCAGUGGCUCACGCCUGUAAUCCCAGCAUUUUGGGAGUACAAGGUGGGCGGAUCACCUGAGGUCAGGAGUUCGAGACCAGCCUGGCCAACAUGGUGAAACCCUGUCUCUACUAAAAAAAAAAAAAAAAA
rnacentral:lncRNA from 1 species